rnacentral:rRNA from 1 species
UGCAAGUCGAACGAUGAACCAGGUGCUUGCACUUGGGGAUUAGUGGCGAACGGGUGAGUAACACGUGAGCAACCUGCCCCUCACUCUGGGAUAAGCGCUGGAAACGGCGUCUAAUACUGGAUACGAGUCGCAACCGCAUGGUUAGUGACUGGAAAGAUUUUUUGGUGGGGGAUGGGCUCGCGGCCUAUCAGCUUGUUGGUGAGGUAAUGGCUCACCAAGGCGUCGACGGGUAGCCGGCCUGAGAGGGUGACCGGCCACACUGGGACUGAGACACGGCCCAGACUCCUACGGGAGGCAGCAGUGGGGAAUAUUGCACAAUGGGCGGAAGCCUGAUGCAGCAACGCCGCGUGAGGGAUGACGGCCUUCGGGUUGUAAACCUCUUUUAGCAGGGAAGAAGCGUGAGUGACGGUACCUGCAGAAAAAGCGCCGGCUAACUACGUGCCAGCAGCC